rnacentral:lncRNA from 1 species
UCCCUCGGGCUGCCUGGAAGUCUGGCGCUGCCCAAGGGCCGGGGGGCACCCGGAGCCCCCCGGAGGCGUCCUUUCCUCGGGCGAUCGCCUCCCUAACGCGGUAGCCGAGGCCUCGCCCUCGGGGGGGACCCAUCUGUCCUGGCCGUCGGCUUUCCGCUGGGUUCGCAGGUCCACGGGCAGUUCUCCGGCCAUAUUCCUGGAUCCUCGCCCAGAAGAGAAAGAUCGAGGCUGAUGGAGGAGGAGGAGGCUGGGCCACCAGGUGGAAGUUCUCCAGCCUUGGUCUUGGCCACCAGCUUGCUAUCGGCCGAAGCCCUCCGCGUCGUGGCCAACCCCCCAAACCCUCGUCUUGGCCAGUCGGUCACUCUGUCCUUGCAGGAUGUCGAUUACCCCUACAUCUGCUUUUGGAGCAGAGGCAACAAAUUUGACAAGGGGAGGAUGAUCUUUCAAGCAGUAAGCGGCCAAGUGACCGGCCGGGGCGGGGGCUUCACCGGCCGUGAACACCUGGGAAGGGACUGCGCCCUCACCAUCAACAACUUGCAGGCCUCGGAUUCCGGGGACUACAGCCUGGUCAUACUGGAUGGGCGCCCGGGCCGGACACAGCGCUGGACGGAUGACGUGAUACGGCUGCAUGUGGCCUGUGAGUACCCACGGAUGCCAGCAGCCACAGGAUGCUAAAAGAGAAGGCAAAAGGGGUCGCUGGUUUACCUAAACGUAGAGUGCAAUAUAACAAAUGUUGGUUAACAUUUAGGUAUUGUUCAAAGGCCUCUCCUCGGAGUGGGGAAGGCUCUGCCAGGUGAGCGGUGGGGAUGCUGCCGAGGUGGACAGGCAGCAUCUCCGUGUCAGGUCUCCUUCUGUGGAGUUCUUUCUCUUUAAAUCAGACCCACCAUGGAGAGAGACAACCCAAAACUUUGGCUCUUUCAUCACAGUUUGCACAAGGGAGAUUUCAGCGAAAGAUUCAAAACGGGGCGGUUAGCUGCUGUUGAAUUUCUCGACGUUGUCAGCCUGCAGUAUCAGACUUUGUAAGAGAGGCGACACAGUGCCACAGUUACAGGGCAACACUCCCAGGAGGCCUGUAAUCCGAUCCAUACUCAGCCCUAGCCUGAUCCUGGCCACUGAGUCACUUUCAUCCUGGCCUGCCUUCUAGGGUUGUGGUGUGGACGUGUCGGAUUUCAUAAUAUAAAGCAGCAUGAGCUUCUUAGAGGAGGUGGAGAGUACAUAAUUGAGAUCCGCCGUUGGCUUUUACAAUACUGUAUUUUUCUGUGUAUAAGAUACCCCCAUGUAUAAGACGCCCUCAGGCUUUUCUAACCCAAAAUUAAGAAAUCUAAGUGGGGCUUAGCAAGUGCAGGGGGGAAAGGAUCAAAGCGCUGCAGGAUCGCUUUGAUCCCUGCUUUCCCCUCCACUUGGUUUUGUUCUCUCCUCAGCUUACUUCUGUGUAUAAGACGACU